ncrna:Burkholderia xenovorans LB400 C4 antisense RNA
UUCAAUGGGCGGGCCGUGGUGGGGAGCCGAAAGGCUCGCCGGUAUGUUUUUGGCCCGGUCUGCUAACCCGCUACGUGCCCGCUCACCCUC